GGUGGGUUGGUUCAGUGGUUAGAGCUUAGGUCUAACCGAAAGGUUGCGGGAUCGAAUCCCGCUAGAGGCUG
rnacentral:tRNA from 1 species